rnacentral:rRNA from 1 species
CCUACGGGGGGCUGCAGUGGGGAAUAUUGGACAAUGGGGGGAACACUGAUCCAGCCAUGCCGCGUGUGUGAAGAAGGCCCUCGGGUUGUAAAGCACUUUCAGUGAGGAAGAACGCCUGGUGGUUAAUACCCAUCAGGAAAGACAUCACUCACAGAAGAAGCACCGGCUAACUCCGUGCCAGCAGCCGCGGUAAUACGGAGGGUGCGAGCGUUAAUCGGAAUUACUGGGCGUAAAGCGCGCGUAGGUGGCUUGAUAAGCCGGUUGUGAAAGCCCCGGGCUCAACCUGGGAACGGCAUCCGGAACUGUCAAGCUAGAGUGCAGGAGAGGAAGGUAGAAUUCCCGGUGUAGCGGUGAAAUGCGUAGAGAUCGGGAGGAAUACCAGUGGCGAAGGCGGCCUUCUGGACUGACACUGACACUGAGGUGCGAAAGCGUGGGUAGCAAACAGGAUUAGAUACCCUAGUAGUC